rnacentral:rRNA from 1 species
CGGGGUGCACCAGGCGCGAAAACUUUGCAAUGCGGGAAACCGUGACAAGGGAACUCUGAGUGCCCGUUAAAUCGGGCUGUCCAUCGGUUUAAAUAACCGGUGAAGAAAGGGCCGGGCAAGACCGGUGCCAGCCGCCGCGGUAAUACCGGCGGCUCGAGUGGUGGCCACUAUUACUGGGCUUAAAGCGUUCGUAGCUGGUUUGUUAAGUCUCUGGGGAAAUCUUCCGGCUUAACCGGAAGGCGUCUCAGGGAUACUGGCAGACUAGGGACCGGGAGAGGUGAGAGGUACUCCAGGGGUAGGAGUGAAAUCCUGUAAUCCUUGGGGGACCACCUGUGGCGAAGGCGUCUCACCAGAACGGCUCCGACAGUGAGGGACGAAAGCUGGGGGAGCAAACCGGAUUAGAUACCCGGGUAGUCCCAGCUGUAAACGAUGUGCGUUAGGUGUAUCGGUGACCACGAGUCACCGAGGUGCCGAAGAGAAAUCGUGAAACGUACCGCCUGGGAAGUACGGUCGCAAGGCUGAAACUUAAAGGAAUUGGCGGGGGAGCACAAGGGCGAUUCGCG